rnacentral:rRNA from 1 species
GACGAACGCUGGCGGCAUGCCUAACACAUGCAAGUCGAACGAAAACUUCGGGUCUUGUGGCGCACGGCUGCGUCACGCGUGGGAACCUGCACUUAGGUUCGGAAUAACUCCCCGAAAGGGAUGCUAAUACCGGAUAAUGUCUUCGGACCAAAGAUUUAUUGCGUUUGGAUGGGCGCGCGUUGGAUUAGCUAGUUGGUAGGGUAAAAGCCUACUAAGGCGACGAUCCAUAGCUGGUCUGAGAGGAUGAUCAGCAACACUGGGAAUGAGACACGGCCCAGACUCCUACGGGAGGGAGGAGUGGGGAAUAUAGGACAAUGGGGGAAAGCCUGAUCCAACAAUGCCCGGUAAGUGAUGAAGGCCGUAGGGAUGUAAUGCGCUUUUACCCGGGAUGAUAAUGACAGUACCGGGUGAAUAAGCUCCGGCUAACUCCGUG